GUCAAUGGGCGGGCCAUGGCAGGGAGACCUUCGGGUCUGCCGGUUUAUGGAUUACUUGACCGGUCUGCCAACCCUGUCAUGUGCCCGCUCACCUCU
rnacentral:antisense_RNA from 1 species